rnacentral:rRNA from 1 species
UACGGGGGGGGCAAGCGUUGUUCGGAAUUACUGGGCGUAAAGGGCCCGUAGGCGGCCAACUAAGUCGGAGGUGAAAUCCCCAGGCUUAACCUGGGAACUGCAUCCGAUACUGGAUGGCUUGAAUUCGGGAGAGGGAUGCAGAAUUCCAGGUGUAGCGGUGAAAUGCGUAGAUAUCUGGAGGAAUACCGGUGGCGAAGGCGGCAUCCUGGACCGACAUUGACGCUGAACGGCGAAAGCUAGGGGAGCAAACGGG